UACGUAGGGUCCAAGCGUUAUCCGGAAUCACUGGGCGUAAAGCGUGCGUAGGCGGUUUGUUAAGUGAGAUGUUAAAACGUGGGGCUCAACCCUGUCGGUGCAUCUCAUACUGGCAGACUAGAGGAAGGCAGAGGCAAGUGGAAUUUGUAGUGUAGCAGUGAAAUGCGUAGAUAUUACAAGGAACACCAAUGGCGAAGGCAGCUUGCUGGGCCUUUUCUGACGCUGAGGUACGAAAGCGUGGGGAGCGAACAGG
rnacentral:rRNA from 1 species